rnacentral:misc_RNA from 1 species
GUAGAUUUUAACAACCAAACGUAAUAAAAUAAACUAAGCUAUAAAUGAAAGGAAAAAAAUUAACACAUAUAUCCCCUCCCCCCUUUAGGCGACCCCCAAAUUAUAUCAUAUAUAGAGAGAGUUAGAAUUACUACAAAAUAUUACAAUAUUAAAUAAAAGGAACGACAAAAAUAUUUUAAAAAAAACUAGUUCCACUCAGAUACAAAU